GGAUGUGGCUCAAGAGGUAGCGCGCUCACUUGGCAUGCGGGCGGCCCGGGUUCAAUCCUCAGCACCA
rnacentral:tRNA from 1 species